rnacentral:lncRNA from 1 species
UUUUUUUUCCCCUUCCCUUGCCCUCCCUUCAGCCCCUCCACCCUUCCCUAUUAUCUUGGUUCUUAUUUUCUCCCCAUUCCCCUGCCCUCCCUUCAACCCUUCCACCCCGAAAAUUAUUCUUAAACUCCUUCAGCAUCUCCCUUCUGAUGGUAAUUUCUGAAAACACUCAGUGGUCUGGAUCGAUUCUGUAAUUUUCUGGCAGUCAUCUGUCUCUCAGAGCAGUACAUGAUCAAGUGUGGCAUACUGUUGUGGGCCAGGCUGAAAUCUAGCCCACUCUUUUUGUAAAUACACUUGAUUGGAACUCAGCCACACCCAUUCCUUCACCUAUCAUCUGUGGUUUAUGACACAGACACAAGACCUCUAGAGCCCAAAGUAAUUACGAUCUGGUCCUUUAUAGGAGGAAUGUGCUAAUCCCUGCUGUUGAGAUUUCUAAAGUACUCCUUAUCCUAAGUAAACAAUUCCAGACAUUAAGUCCUUAGUGCUGAGAUUCUAUUAGGCCUGGAAAAUUUAAUUUCAUUACCAGUAUUGUGGGAAUAGAAUGUAUCUUUUUAGUCUUAGCUUUUUAGGUAGAAUUCCUCAGCUUAAAGUGCUGUUUUGAAGAUUUAAGUCAAACACCCCUGAUCUCAAAAACUAGGUCUCAGAAAAAUGCUUGACCUGAAGAAUUUAAAAUGUCGUGUUGUGUCCAUCUCUGUGUUUUAACCUGAGCUUGUUUUCUUUUCAGACUUUGCCUGUGUUGAUUGAACAAGCUGAUGGAUUUUCCCAAGUUUUAAAGAUGCAGCCUGUCAUCCACCUCCAGAGGAUCCACCAAGAAGUCUUUUCUGGUUGUGAUGGGAAACUAGAUGCUCAGCCUGAGAGUAGCUCUGUGACACAGAUGGAAGCCACACCUACAGAGACUGCUGCCCGGCCGGCCUCUUACCUGGUGCUGAGAAGAAGGCGGAUUACAGACUGUGCCUUGAGAAAGAGGGUCUUGCCAUGUAGCCCAGGAUGGCCUUGAACUCACUAUAUAGCCGAAACUGGCCUUGACUCUUGAUGAUCCUCCUGCUUCAGCCUCACGAGUGCUAGGAUUACAGGUGUGUGCCACCAUGCCCAACAGAACUACAUUGAUUUUUGAAUGCUGAAUCAACCUUUCAUGGUUGUGAUAAGCUCCAUGUGGUCAUGAAUUAUUCUUUUUGUAUAUUGCUUGAUUCAAUUUAUAAUUUUUUGGCUAAGAAUUUUUGCAUCUAUGAUCUUGAAGAAUAUUGAUCUGAGAUGUGUUUCUUGAACCGUUUCUGUCAAAUGUUGGCAUAGGCCAAGUGUGGUGGUGCAUGCCUGUAAUCCCAGCACUUGAGAGGCUGAGGCAGGAGGACUGCCAUGAAUUCAAGGCCAGCCUGGGCUGCAUAGUACAUUCAAGGCCAGGCUGAACUAUGUAGCAAGAC